rnacentral:rRNA from 1 species
CCUACGGGAGGCAGCAGUGAGGAAUAUUGGUCAAUGGACGAGAGUCUGAACCAGCCAAGCAGCGUGAAGGAUGACUGCCCUAUGGGUUGUAAACUUCUUUUACAAAGGAAUAAAACGAGGCACGUGUGCCUUUUUGCAUGUACUUUAUGUAUAAGGAUCGGCUAACUCCGUGCCAGCAGCCGCGGUAAUACGGAGGAUCUGAGCGUUAUCCGGUUUUAUUGGGUUUAAAGGGAGCGUAGAUGGGUUGUUAAGUCAGUGGUGAAAGUUUGGGGCUCAACCGUCAAAUUGCAAUUGAUACUGGCAGUCUUGAGUGCAGUUGAGGUAGGCGGAAUUCGUGGUGUAGCGGUGAAAUGCUUAGAUAUCACGAAGAACCCCGAUUGCGAAGGCGGCUUACUAGACUGUAACUGACAUUGAGGCUCGAAAGUGUGGGUAUCAAACAGGAUUAGAUACCCGGGUAGUC